rnacentral:rRNA from 1 species
CGGGUGAGGAACACGUAGGUGACCUACCCUUUGCUGGGGAACAACCCCGGGAAACCGAGGCUAAUUCCGCAUAAGCUCUCCGGAUUGCGGUCCGGAGGGGAAAGGUGGCCUCUUCAUGAAAGCUAUCGGCGAAGGUUGGGCCUGCGUCCUAUCAGCUUGUUGGUGAGGUAAAAGCUCACCAAGGCUACGACGGGUAGCUGGUCUGAGAGGAUGAUCAGCCACACUGGAACUGAGACACGGUCCAG